rnacentral:lncRNA from 1 species
UUCUUCUUCCACUUCUUCAAACUCAGAUUCGGCCUCUGAACUUGAACUAGGUUCACUAGGUUUGGGAUGCCUCCUCUUUCUUCUCAAAUCACGUUCAAAAUCGUCGUUAAAGUCCAAGAUAUGUGCAUGUACAGUUUGAGAACUCCGCGUCAUGCACUAGUACCUAAACCAAGAAAACAAAACAAAAUAAGAAAACUAGGUAAAUUAUAUUAAAAACACACGGCAAAAACACAAGGGAUUAGCAAUUUUGCUAAUCCCCGGCAACGGCGCCAAAAUUUGAUGUGAAAAUUAACUUGACACACAAAUUAAAUCCUAUGGAUGACAAUUGUAGUAUAUGAGCAAAUAGGGAUCGUUCUAAACCGGGGAUU